UACAGAGGGUGCAAGCGUUAAUCGGAAUUACUGGGCGUAAAGCGUGCGUAGACGGUUAUGUAAGUCGGGUGUGAAAUCCCCGGGCUCAACCUGGGAACUGCAUCUGUGACUGCAUAGCUAGAGUACGGUAGAGGGGGAUGGAAUUCCGCGUGUAGCAGUGAAAUGCGUAGAUAUGCGGAGGAACACCGAUGGCGAAGGCAAUCCCCUGGACCUGUACUGACGCUCAUGCACGAAAGCGUGGGGAGCAAACAGG
rnacentral:rRNA from 1 species